rnacentral:rRNA from 1 species
GAUGAACGCUGGCGGCGUGCCUAAUACAUGCAAGUCGAGCGUAGCGGGGACGGGUGAUUACUACGUGUCUAACCUCCUAUAGGACUGGGAUAACUUCGGGAAACCUGAUCUCAACCCGAUACUUAUACUUGGAUCCGCGCUGCAUUAGCUAGUUGGUACGGUAACGGCUUACCAAGGCAACGAUGCAUAGCCGACCUGAGAGGGCGAUCGGCCACACUGGAAAUGAGACACGGGCCAGACUCCUACGGGAGGCAGAAGUGGGGAAUUUUCCGCAAUGGGCGAAAGCCUGAUGCAGCAACGCCGCGUGAGUGAAGAAGGCCUUCGGGUUGUAAAACACUGUUAUUAGGGAAGCGGUACCUAAACAGAAAGUAACGGCUAACUACGUGCCAGCAGCCGCGGUAAGAC